UACGUAGGGGGCAAGCGUUGUCCGGAAUUAUUGGGCGUAAAGAGCGUGUAGGCGGUCCGGUAAGUCGGCUGUGAAAGUCCAGGGCUCAACCCUGGGAUGCCGGUCGAUACUGCCGGACUAGAGUUCGGAAGAGGCGAGUGGAAUUCCCGGUGUAGCGGUGAAAUGCGCAGAUAUCGGGAGGAAUACCGGUGGCGAAGGCGGCAUCCUGGACCGACAUUGACGCUGAGGCGCGAAAGCUAGGGGAGCAAACGGG
rnacentral:rRNA from 1 species